rnacentral:lncRNA from 1 species
CGGUUCUCAAGAUAUAGAGCGGACACGAUCUUCACCACAGGACACAGGGUUGUCAACUGAAACCAAAGUUUUUUUACCUUGACCUUUGACCUAGGAAGUUGUACAUACAUCAUGACACGCCCUUUGGUGGUGGUUAAUAAACAUGUAAAGUAUAAAGUAUGAAAUCAUAACGGUUCUCUAGAUAUGGAGCGGACACAAAGUGUUACGGACGGACAGACUGAUCACUAUAGGGUGACCCGCCUUUGGCGGGGCCCUAAU